rnacentral:rRNA from 1 species
CCGACGGUGAGAGGUGAAAGCUGGGGGAGCAAACCGGAUUAGAUACCCGGGUAGUCCCAGCCGUAAACGAUGUGCGUUAGGUGUAUCGGUGACCACGAGUCACCGAGGUGCCGAAGAGAAAUCGUGAAACGUACCGCCUGGGAAGUACGGUCGCAAGGCUGAAACUUAAAGGAAUUGGCGGGGGAGCACCACAACAGGUGGAGCCUGCGGUUUAAUCGGAUUCAACGCCGGGAAACUCACCAGAUAAGACAGCUGAAUGAUAGUCGGGCUGAAGACUCUACUUGACUAGCUGAGAGGAGGUGCAUGGCCGUCGUCAGUUCGUACUGUGAAGCAUCCUGUUAAGUC